UUUACUGAAAUGCCUAUGUUCUGUUUUGAAGUUAUAAAUGUUGUUUUUAGUACGUAUACAAGAAAAAAGGGAGAAAGCCUGUCCUUUCAUGUUAUUUUCAACUACAACGUAGUAAGUUUUUUGUUAUUCGAAACAAAACUUUAUUAAACGGUAGAAAUAGACACCGUUAGUGUCCGUUAGUGUAAAUAACUGUUGAAUUCUUUCAUGUAUGGUUGCAUUGCCGGUAUGUAUUAAGUUUGUAACUUUGUAACAUUGUUUCUGUCUAGCCAUAGCGCUUUAAUGUGUUGUUUUAAGGUAGAGUAUGUUUAUGUUAAUUAGAUGCGAGGUUAUCGCGAGGUUAUCAGGUGCGCAAUUGGUAGCCUAGAUGUACGCAUAUAGRUGUGAUGAUCGGUAGAAAUUGAAUGUAGUGUAUUUUAUGCUGCAUAUGAUCACAUAUUUACUGUAUUUUUUAUCUGGAUUUCAGUUUUACCCUUUUAAUUGUCAUUAAGCCUGCUGACAACUUCCUUCGGUCUUCAGAGUCGUGACAUGAGAAAGAUGUUAGAAAGCCUUUGCAUCAGACAUGCACAACUGCAUCCAGACACUCCUGAACUUUUCCUGGAAAGCAACUAGGCAUCUUAAAAAUAGUUUACAGAUUUUCUGGGCUCAAACCCUGAAUGAGGCCGACUGACAUGACGCAGACGAAGGUUUGCAGCUUUGCAUUCCAACCAGAUGGUUCAAGUCCCUUAAUGAACUGAAUGACUGGGAAUCCAUGGAAAAUUUGAGCCUUUUGAAGUUUAAACGUGAUUGGUCAUCUCAUCAAACCUGGUGCACCAAGAACCUUUGCGAAGCACAAGAACUGGUCACAGAACAUUUCAAGCUCUUGGUAACUGGACCUAAGAGUUGGAUUAACCAUUUUUUUGCAGAACAUAAACAUAAAAUAAACUGUUUUGUUUUAUGUUCACAGCGACUAGAGGUAAUGAGAGCACACACUCAUGCAUCCAGUGUCUUCCACUGUCGUUGGCAUUAGGCUGGAUUUAUGUAGCAUUUGAUUUUUAACUAAAUAUUUAUACCUGUAUUUCAUUUAUUUUUUGGCAUUUAUUUUGAAGUAUGUUGGUCCUGUUUACAACUAUUAUUUUCAUGUUCCAAAGCAAUUUUUUGUAUGUUCCAUCUUAUAGUAAUCAACAAAACUGUUUGACUACAAAGACUAGUCAAGAUUGCUUUACAUUUAAUUUAUACGUUGAAAUUUGUAUAGUAAAAUGCAAAUUAGUUGUGACGUGCAGAAGAUAAUUAGCGAGCUCAAGAAUAUGUUUAACUCUUAAAUAUAUAAUAGCAAAGGUUAGUUAUAAAGACUAGAUGACGUCAAUUUAUGGUCUUAAAUUGCAAAAUAAAGUCUGCAAAUUGAUUGUAGAAUGGUUUCAUUUUUACAUCACUUUGCAUGAUGAGCUACUUUCAAUCUAAGUGUUUUGUGUUCUACAACUACAUUUACUGUGGACUUAGAAUUUAGUUUUGUUUCAAAAUUAUGUUAAG